rnacentral:rRNA from 1 species
CAAGUAGGGUGCAAGCGUUAAUCGGAAUUACUGGGCGUAAAGCGUGCGCAGGCGGUUAUGCAAGACAGAUGUGAAAUCCCCGGGCUUAACCUGGGAACUGCAUUUGUGACUGCAUAGCUGGAGUGCGGCAGAGGGGGAUGGAAUUCCGCGUGUAGCAGUGAAAUGCGUAGAUAUGCGGAGGAACACCGAUGGCGAAGGCAAUCCCCUGGGCCUGCACUGACGCUCAUGCACGAAAGCGUGGGGAGCAAACAGG